rnacentral:rRNA from 1 species
GACGAUCAGUCACACUAGAACUGAGACACGGUCCAGACACCUACGGGUGGCAGCAGUCGAGAAUCAUUCGCAAUGGACGAAAGUCUGACGGUGCGACGCCGCGUGGAGGAUGAAGGCCCUAGGGUCGUAAACUCCUGUCAUCAGGGAGUAAUGACUUACGCAGUAACUGGCGUGNUAGUGAUAGUACCU